ensembl:snRNA
UUGUUGUAUAAAAGGAAAAAGUCAGACUCUCCUUGACAUGAAUGGAAGAGGCACUCAGGCCUGACAACACGCACAUGGUUAAGGCACUGCCAUCUACUGCACAGUAUGUUACCAAUAUUUUUU